UACCAGCACCCCGAGUGGUCGGGACGAUUAUUGGGCCUAAAGCAUCCGUAGCCGGCCUUACAAGUCCUCCGUUAAAUCCAGCUGCUUAACAGAUGGGCUGCGGAGGAUACUAUAAGACUAGGAGGCAGGAGAGGCAAGCGGUACUCAGUGGGUAGGGGUAAAAUCCGUUGAUCCAUUGAAGACCACCAGUGGCGAAGGCGGCUUACUGGUCCGGUUCUGACGCUGAGGCGCGAAAGCGUGGGGAGCAAACAGG
rnacentral:rRNA from 1 species